GGACUUAUAGCUCAGUGGUAGAGCAAUCGACUGCAGAUCGAUAGGUCCCGAGUUCAAAUCUCGGUGAGUCCU
rfam:Spizellomyces punctatus DAOM BR117 chromosome Tnknown supercont1.8, whole genome shotgun sequence.